rnacentral:rRNA from 1 species
CGUAGGAGGCAAGCGUUAUCCGGAUUCACUGGGCGUAAAGCGCGUGCAGGUGGCGCGGUAAGUUAGGCGUGAAAUCUCCCGGCUCAACUGGGAGAGGUCGUCUAAUACUACCGUGCUUGAGAGCAGAAGAGGAAGAUGGAAUUCCCGGUGUAGUGGUGAAAUGCGUAGAUAUCGGGAGAACACCAGUGGCGAAGGCGAUCUUCUGGUCUGUUUCUGACACUCAGACGCGACAGCUAGGGUAGUAAACGGGAUUAGAGACCCCGGUAAUCCUAGCCGUAAACGAUGUGAACUUGGCGUUGGUGGGUUAAACUCCAUCAGUGCCGUAGCAAACGCGAUAAGUUCACCGCCUGGGGACUACGGCCGCAAGGUU